rnacentral:lncRNA from 1 species
AUACAGCCGACAAGUAGAAGAGUUGAAGGAAAAUGUGAAGGACAUGCUGAUGGCAUCCAAAAAGGACCCAGUGGAACAUAUUGAAUUCAUUAAUCUGUUAUGUCGGCUUGGUGUGUCGUAUCAUUUUGACAAAGAGAUUGAAAACAACCUCAAAGAAAUUUUUGCUGACCUUCCUAAUCUUCUUGAGAAGCAUGACUUUGAUCUCUACACUUUGUCACUUCUAUUUCGAGUAUUCAGACAGCAUGGAUUCAAAAUGCCUUGCGGUGAGCGCAUACUUCCACUUUAUAGCCUUUCAAACCUUAAUCAACAUCUCCAAAACUAAUUCCUUGACACUAUGAGAGCAUUAGUUAAUUUCAGAGGAAAAAUUAAAUCUUAACAUCUCAAGAAUUAAUUCUUGGACGGUACUUUAAACUCUGCUAAAUCUAUCUUUCUUUUACAAGAAGUAAUCUAUGGUCAAAUUAAGAUUAUUAAAAAAAUGACUAGAAAAGUAAAAUUAUUGUAACUAGCAAAACUUUCGUGAAACUAAAUAAAUAUUUUUUCAUAAUCCACAAACAUCUUUUGAAAAUUGGCUAAAAUUUGUAGUGAGUUUUUUUAUGAAUCAGUUGUGUUCGACAAGUUCAAGGACACCAAAGGAGAGUUUAAGGAAACAAUCAUCAACGAUGUUAAAGGCAUCCUGGGCUUGUAUGAAGCUUCAUUUUUAAGUGUGCAUGGAGAACAGGUACUGGAUGAAGCCCUUGUUUUCACAAAGGCAAACCUGGAGUCUUCGGCUAUGCAAUCAAGCCCACGUCUAGCAGACCAUAUUAGGAAUGCUUUGAUCCGGCCCUUUCACAAAGGCGUACCAAGAAUAGAGGCUAGAAAAUACAUCUCUUUCUACGAAGAAGAUGAGUCUCGGAAUGACACUCUACUCAAGUUUGCCAAGAUAGAUUUCAAUCGAGUUCAGUUAAUACAUCGACAAGAGCUAUCCAUUCUCUCGAGGUAAUUUUUUGUUCGAGUUCGAGAGAAAUACCAGACUAAGUUUCUAUUGGAAUUUCUUUACUCGGUUGCUAUUUACAUUUUAGGUGGUGGAAUGAUUUAAAUUUUGCUGAGGAGUUUCCAUAUGCAAGAGAUAGAAUUGUAGAGAUCUAUUUCUGGGCAAAUGGAGUCCAUUUCGAGCCUCAAUAUGCUUUCUCUCGGAUGAUGGUCACGAAAUAUAUGAAAAUUGUAUCACUGGUAGAUGAUACAUACGAUGCAUAUGCAUCUUUUGAAGAGAUACAACAUUUUUCUAAUGCAAUUGAAAGGUUUGUUUCUUGUUACCUCAUAGUCUGUCUUUCUCUUCUAAAUCUUUCAUAAACAUAGAAGUCAAUACAAAGAUGUUCAGGAAAGGACAUGUAAUUUUCUGUCUCAAUUUCAGAUGCAGCAUGAAUGCUAUUGAUCAACUACCUGCCGAUUACAUGAAAGUUCUUUUUAGAGCUCUUCUGAAUCUUUUCAACGAAACUGAGAAUGAUAUGGGAAAGCAAGGAAGAUCCUAUGCCUCAUAUUAUUUGAAGGAGGAAGUAUGAACAUUUUUCCAGUCUCAUGCAUUCUUUUACUAUUUCUAGCAUAAUAUAUUGUUAUUGUAUAUAUAUUAAUUGAAAUAUUGCUUAGGUUUUACCACACAAUCUUUGUUUUAUUUGUAUGCUAUUAGUUCAAAGAAUUGGUGAGAGGCUACCAUGCGGAGGCGGAGUGGGCAGAUAAAUGCCAUGUCCCAACAUUCGACGAGUAUGUGCGCAAUGGAUUAGCCACAAGUGGUUAUGGGGUAAUUAUGGCAGCAUCCUUCCUUGGAAUGGAAGAAGUUGCAGGAGGGGAGGAGUAUGAAUGGCUAAAAAGUAAUCCAAAAAUUAUUAAAGCUGGGAAGAUGAUCGGUCGUUUGAUGAAUGACAUAGUGGGCCACGAGGUACGAUGUCUGAAUUCUUAAAAAUAAAAAUUACAUCGUUUAAGUGCAAAAGUAUUAGUUCAAAUUAUGAUAUACUUAAUAGUUUACAAGAUUUUUCAAUUAUUUUCGUGCAUCAAAAAAAUUGAACCAAGGUUCAGCUCAUGACUAUUCCUGUCUUUCUUCUCAAUUUUUUCAUGUUAAGUUUCUUUUCUGACAAUUAUGACAUCGUUUAUAUAUUUGAAGGAUGAACAAAAGAGAGGAGACUGUGCAUCCGGCGUUGAAUGCUAUAUGAAACAAUAUGAUGUAUCGGAGAAGAAAGCAAUUGAAGAGAUACAAAAGAUGGACGUUAAUGCGUGGAAGGAUAUCAAUGAAGAUUGCAUGAGGCCAACUAAUGCUCCAAUGCUUCUCCUUCAACAUUUUGUUAACCUUGUUCGAGUUACAGAUGUUAUUUAUGAGAAUGAUGACGAUUCCUACACAAUUCCAUUAGGUUUAAAAGAUUAUGUCGCUUUAUUAUAUAUUGAGCAAGUGCCUCUGUAUGAAUAAUGGUGUAUAAUUCCUGCUUUGAGCUCAUGGUGGAACUCUCUAUGAAUGUGUUGUAAUAAAACGAGCAGUGACUCGUGGAUAUUAUAUGUACUAUUGGAUCUAGUGUGUAUUUUGGUAUGUAUUGAAUUUGAUAAUUGACUUUGAAUUUUACUGAAAAGAUUUAAACUUUGCAGUGGUGAUCUAUUCUUAAUUUAUAUAUUAUUCUUAUAUUUUUUAUAUAGGAUUGGUGAUUCUAACACUCUUUCUCACUUGUAAACUAUCUUUUAAGGUUUAUGUAAGGGAUUAAUUUUUAAGAUUGUAAAUAGUUACAGGUCCCUUAUUUUAUUAAAUUUGAUAACUGAGUUUUGAUUUCAUAAAAAAAAAAUGAAUUUUCAAGUAAUAUUUGCUAAAACCUUAAAUGACCAUAAAUUAUCUAAUAAGAUACUUUGAACUCUUGAAAACAAAAAAAUUACAAUUUUCACUGGAUUUAUAUGUUGUAGAAAACCUAGAUUAUAAGACUCAAUCAAGUAAAAAGAAUAAGAUCAUCAUCAUCAUCAUCAUCAUCAUCAUCAUUCAUCUUCUCUUUAGUUGCAAUGAUUAUUAUAUUUAUUUUGUAAAUGCCAUAAAAAAAUCUCUUUUCUACAAACAUCUCACUUUUUAUAAGUAUACAUUUGUCACUCUCAAAAAAAUAUCAUUAAAACAUAUUUAUUCAAUAAUAAGCCGGACAUUAAGUUCUUUCUAAUGUUAAAACAUGAGGUUAGGUGAGAAACUUUUUGAAACUCAUCUUUAGUAUAACCUUCUUGAAGCCAAUACCUUAGAGGUUGAUGAAAUUCUUAUAUACAAAUAUUCAUUAUUCAUUUCUUGGUAAGUGAAAAACAUCCUCUUCUCUAUGCUUAUAAGUCUUGUUGUACUAGUAUCAACUCAACAAUGAUCGGGAUUAAUGAUCAAGUUAACUUUAGAAACAACAGUAGUGAAAUUCAUUUUUGACACAUCAUUUGUGUAGUUAUCAACCUUUGAGUUAUUGGCUUAAACAAUCUUUGUUUUUUAGGAUUUUCUUGUUGUGCUUUAUUUUUGCAAUCAUUAACUUGGUAUCUAGUCGUAUUCCAAAUGAAUCACUUUCCAUGAAAUGUUUUAGCAUUUUGCUUUGUUUGAAAGCAAAUGUUUUCUUUUAUUUCUUAAUGUGUGUCUUCUCCUUCUUAUUCAAUAAUAUUUAGUUUAGGAGACAAACUAGAAGACUUGACUCUUCUUUUAGACAAUUUAUCUUCCUUUUCUAAUAUCAAUCUCAAAAUGAGAUAUUCAACUCUCAUCUACUAAUGUUUAUACUUAAGAUACUUUUUUUAAUUUUUUUCAAUAUGGUGGCUGUUGUAACCCAUUUUUGGGUUCCCCCCAUAAAAAUAUAAAUAUAUAGCCGGAAGAAAUUAGAAAAAAAUAAUAAGAGGUGGGAGUGCUCAGAAAAUGGUUGGAAAAUUGGUCAAUGAGGUUAAAAAUACAAAGAUUGGAGUUAGGACAGUAUAUUCUUGAAGGAUGAGAGCCCUAUUGAGAGGGGAAUUUUGAAAUUUGAGGAGAAAAGCCCAAAUUUGGAUGUUUAUGGACUUAAUUGGAUUUUUAAAUGAAUUUAUAGGGGAUUUGAUUGUAAGAAAAAUUGAUUUUUAAGUCAAUUUGGGUUUUAAUUAGAAGAAAUUUAAGUUCUGGGGCCAAAAUAUAUUUUUUAGGAAUUUAUUAGGUCAAAUCAGGGGCUUAAUUGCAUAAAUAUUGAAGUUUAAGGGCCAAUUGGGGACUUAAUUGAGAAAAUCCGAAAUCAGGGACCAAAUUGGAAGAGGCGCGUAAAUGGAGGGGCUGCAAUUAUUCGAUUCAGGGGCCUAAUUGAAGAAAUUGAAAGUUUAUUAAUCAAUUGAGGGCUCAAUUGCAUAAAUCAGAGGCCAAGGACCAAAGUGAAAAAUGCGGCCAACUAUAGGGGCGGAGACCGAAAUUGGCAGGGAUGCAAUUGAAGGAAAGAAGAUAAUUGAGGGCUGCUUUGCAAAUUGACGCGUUUUGGCGUCUUGCUGGACUUAAAUGAAACGGCGCGUUUUGCCUAAAACGACGCCGUUUCAUUCCAAAAAAAAAAAAAAAAAAGAAGAAGAUCGGAACGGUGUCGUUUUGAACGACACUGUUCCUCUUUCUUCCUCCCAUGGACGUGCAGCAGGGGAAGAAAGCAAAAUGGUGGGUUUUUCUUCUUCACGUGUGCUGCCUCUCUCUUGACCGCAUGCCUUGCCAGAAAACCGAGGGAGCCGCACCUCGCCAGCCACGCCCGCUGGCCGACCACCCGCCGCGCGCCAUGCAGAAAACAGGGGAGUAACGUCUCGACAGCUGCACCCGAAUGGCCGACCAACCGCCGCAGCCCCUGCCCCCCAUGUGCAGCCAUAAAAAGCCCCGCCUCUUGGCUCUAUAAAUAGACCCAAGAAGACAGAAGAAAAGGAGGAGAGAGGGAGGAGACCCGGAAGAAAGAAAAAAACCGAAGAGAGAGAAGAGGAGAGAAAAUCAACCGAAACAGAGGAGAGAGACACCGAAAACCCAACACUGAGAGGAAGGAGCCGGGGGAGGUAGCAGCACUGCUUGGAGCUGCCGUUGGGACUAUAGCGCCGCUUGAUACCACCACCGGCUUCCACCGCAACGCCACAACACNNNNNNNNNNNNNNNNNNNNNNNNNNNNNNNNNNNNNNNNNNNNNNNNNNNNNNNNNNNNNNNNNNNNNNNNNNNNNNNNNNNNNNNNNNNNNNNNNNNNUUACUGUAUUUUCUUUUUUUUCGUUCCUGCAUGCAGAACGACUAACGUUCUGCAUGCAGAAGGGUGGGGGGAAAAUAAUUCCCCCCGCCAGCGUUUGUUGCUGGGCCAGGCUGGUCCUGGCCCAGCCCAGUCUUCUGGGCCGGGUCUGGCCCAGAAGUGUAUAAUAGUAUCUGGGCCGAAAUCGGCCCAAUCCAGUUUUUGGGCCGAGAUCGGCCCAACACUUUUGGGGCUGAGUCCGGCCCAGUUGUUUUGGGCUGGCCCAGCCCGAUUUAAUAUUAUAUAUUAUAUAUAUUAUAUUUUUUGUAUUACUUAUAUAUAUAUGUGAAAAAUUACGAAAAUUCUGCAAAAAUUAGUAAAAAAUAUAUGGGAUUUUGUUGUAAUUUUAUUACUAUAUUUUGAUCAAUAUCGGUUUGUAUUUUUAUACUGUAAAGAUACAAAUCCGGUAUUAAAAUACCCGGUUUUCAUCAAAACAUCAAAGAUUUUCGAGAAAAAAAGUUUCCAAAAUAUCUUUAAAAAUAUUGUUGAUUUUUCCUGCAUAUUUUUAUCAAAGUGAAUUAAUAUUUGGGUUGCAUUUUUAUACCGUAAGGAUACAAACCCAGUAUUAAAAUACCCGAUUUGCGUCGAAACGUCAAAAAAAAAAAUAUACAUAAUUAAAAAAUGAUUUUGUUUUAAAUACGGCCUAGUCUCUCCAAUAUAUAUAUAUAAAUAUUAUAACAUCAUAUUUUUCACACAACAAAGAAAAUUUCAAAACAAUAUAUGUAUUAGCAUGCAUUUUGGCUUUAAUAACCAGUUUAUUCAAGCCAUGAGAACUAGGCCAAUAUUUCAAAAAUUCUAAAAAAUCUUUUUGUCCUCUUUUAGUAUUUGGGAUUACGAAUUUAUACGUAAGACGUAUUCCUGAUAUAAAAAAUAUGGUUUUUCAUAGACGUUAGAAUAGUUAGGUUUUACCCGAUAAGAUAAGGACCUCCUUAUUGAGGAGGACUUUUCUUGAACCAUAGACGGACCAACAUACAUAGACAGUUAGAAGGAUUAGGUUUUACCCCUUAAGAUAAGGACCUCCUUAUGGAGGAGAACUUUUCUUGGACCAUAGACGGACCGACAUACAUAUACAUUAGAAGGAUUAGGUUUUACCCAAUAAGAUAAGGACCUCCUUAUUGAGGAGGACUUUUCUUGAACCAUAGACGGACCAACAACUAGGAAACACAACGAGACCUUGAAUUUUAUCAGACAAAUAAACAAUGCAGCUUACCUUAGGUAGGGCGUAUUUGGGGUGCUAAUACCUUCCCUUUACGCAACCAGUCCCCGUACCUAAUCUCUGAGACCAGUUAGGGUUCCUAGUGACCAAAAUACUAGGUGGCGACUCCCAUUCCAUUUUCCUACCAACAAAAGACUAUUUUCUUGUCUCCCCACAUUUACCAGAUAGAUACCAUACACACUUCCUAAAUUCUAAAAAGUGGAAUUUUCGCCGCGAGAUCGCGCACCCGCGACAGUGGCAAUUUCUUAAUAAUUACAACUUGGAAGGAUUCAAUCAGAACCAUUCCUUCAUCAUGAGUAUUAUGAAAGAUGUGAUGAAACUCUUAAACUUGACUUAUCAUUGUUCUUGAACUGACCAUCUUAAAUCCAAAAAUUUAUCGACUUUGAAUUCAUCCGUACCAACUUUAAUCUUGUACUUUAAAUCCAAAGCUUCCUAUAAUGUCUUUGCACUUUUGACUAAAUUAUACACCAUAUAAUAUUUUGUCUGGUUCAUUCAAGAUGAGUUCUUACACAUGACAUCUAUUGUUAUCCAUUUUUUGGUCUCCAUAAAGAAAAAGAAAUACAAAAAAAUCAAAAAACAAUUGUGAGAAGAAAACGCAGAGGCACAAAGUUUGGUUGAGAAAGUUCAAAAAUACAAAGAUUGAAAUUUGACUAUAUGUUUUUUACUAAUGAAUGUCCUAUUAACAAAGAAAAUUCAAUUUGAGUGUUGCUACCUAAUUUUUUACCCAUAUUUUUGAUAAAAUUUCAGAAAAAUCAAAAAAUAGCAAAAAACAAUGAAAACCCCAAAAAAUACAUUUUUGAUAUAUUUGCAUCGUUUUUAGCAUUUUCAACGUCAUCUCAAAAGAAUUUAAAUUUUCAAAGGUAUUUGAAACGCGUUCAACUUUUAACACGUAAAUUUUAUGAUCACUGAUUUUUCUUGUUGAGUUGACGUUAAUAUUGCUCGCUUUAAAAAAAUACAAAAAAUAAAAAAAAUCAAAAUUUAAAAAAAAAAAAGAAAAGAAAAGUUCUAUAUAUAUUAGUCUACAGUAAAAUUUAAAGGGGGGAGGCGGAGAAAAAUUUUGAGAGGGAAAACAAAAGUAAAAGAACCCUAAACCUAAACUGGUUCCUCUCUCGGCGGCUGCCCCCUCCCUUGGCAAAAAAAAAAAACAAAGAGAACCGAGGCCGCCACCAUCUCCUUCCCUCACCAGAUCCCCCCCCCCCUCCCUUGACUUUUGCAAAACAAACCAGAGAGCACAAGACAGCCCCUGACUCUUUUCCCCAUAGCCAUUUCCAGCACCGUCUCUAGCUCCUUUUCCCGCUACAACAGCCAAAGCAGCCGACUUCCUUUUUCCCUUUCACCCGAACGGCCGCCUCCCUCCCUUGAGAAAGAAAAUCUAGAGAAACCCCUGCUUUGGGGGGGCUUUUGAUUUUCAGCUUCUUCUCCCUUCAGCCGGGCAAGUCCCCCUCGUCCUCUGUCAAAAAAAAAACGAGCCUUCACCCAUUUUCCCCCAUAGCCGGCCAUCAACACAAACUCUCAGCCCCCCACAGACCAACCUCCCCUGCACGCCGGCCUUCACGGUCUCCCUCGCUCGGCUCUCCCAAAACCAGAGGCCAGCCGUGGCCCCCUUAAUUUGCCCUCUGUCAAAAAACAAGCCGGCCAGCCACCUCUCCUUUCAUCUCUAGACUGAACAUAGCGGCAGCCUCCGCUGUAUUCUUCAGCUGCUCCCGUCUCCGCCUCAGCCACGGUCUCCCUCUCCGGGCCAACCACAGCCCCCGGCCCUCACAGGUCUCCACCGAAUAGACCCCACCACAGCAGCAGCCGAUCUCCUUCACCUCCAAUCGGCCAGCUCGCCUAGACCGAAUCGGAGCCUCCAGUAGCAGCCUGACACAGCGGCGCCCACAGAUCCCAGAUCUGUCCGCCUCCAGCCUCCAGCCUCCAGCCCUCCUUCCUCAGGCGCCAGGUCUGCGACCUGAAGAAGGAAAGAACAGAAAACCAAGGGGAAGAAAGAAGACCGGGAGCAGAUCUGAGAAGGAGAAAACAAAAUAAAAACCACUGCUUGUUGCGUUUUUUGACUUUGUAGGUGACGUCACCUCCCACCGCCAGUGCAGAAAGAGGGAGGAGGAGAAAACGUACCAUUAAAAUAUAACAUGUUUCUACUUAUAUUCUGAGAUUUAAUAAAUGAUUUAUUAAAAUCUUAAAAUUUAAUUAAUAUUUUAAAUUUUCAAAUCACAUCAAAUCGCAAAGCAGCUUAUCUCAGGUAGGGUGUGUUAGGGGUGCUAAUAUAUUUUCUAACCACAACCAGUCUCUUACCUUUGAAUUUUUGAUGAAGACCAGUAUAUUUAGGUUUCCUAGUAGUCUUCAAUCAAAUACUAGGUGGCGACUCCCAAAGAACCAAUCAAGCAAUCAAAACAAAAAAAUCGCCAGAAUCGGCGCGGGGGACGUGCGACAUUGAAGAAGAAAAGUCCAAAAUCAGAUGUUUAAAGACUUAAUUAGAUUUUUUUUCAAAGAUUAAUUGAGUUUAUGAAGGGUUUAAUUGCAAGAAAAUUAAUUUUUAAGUUAAUUUAGACUUUAAUUGCAAGAAAUUAAAGUUUGGGAGUCGAAUUACAAUUGUUAAGAGCCAAUUUGGUCAAAUUAGGGGCUUAAUUGCAUAAAUAUUGAAGUUUGAUGGGCUAUUAAAGACUUCAUUGAAGAAAUCCAAAACCAAGGACCAAACUGAAAAAAGGUGCAUAAAUAUAGGGGCUGCAAUUGACUGAGUCAGGGGUUAAAUUAAAGAAAUUGGAAGUUUGUUGAUUAAUUGAGGGUCAAAAUAUACAAAUUCAAAACCAUGGAGCAAAGUGAAAAAGGCAGCCAACGUCAGGGCUAGCAUUUGAAUUUGGCAAGGAUGCAAUUGAAUUGAUUCUUAAAAUGAAAAUCUCAAUUGAUGACUGGAUUGAACAAAUCAACAAUUAAGGACUGAUUUGGAAUUUGAAACUUUUUUGGAGCCUUUUUCUUGUAAAUAAAACAACGUGUUUAGUACAAAACGAUGUUGUUUCACUCACUGCUUAUAUAUAUAAAGCUCAAAACGGUAUCGUUUCUACGACACUAUGCAUCUUCUUCUUUUCCUGGACGCGCUGCAAGAGAAAAAAGGUUUUUUCUCCCCUACAACGCCUCUCUCCCUCUCUCUCCUAGAAAUCAAAAAAAUCCCAACACAGCCCAAACUCAUGGCCCACCACGAGAUGAAAAAAUAGAGGGGAUAAGCUUGCCCCUAUGCUAUAACUGAACAGGGGUAGAGUAACUCUCUAUCCCCCUUUUCCCCUUUAUAAAUACCGGGGGACGAGAGAAUGAAAAGGAGGGAUGUAAUAAAAAGAAGAAAAUAGAGAGCAAAAAAAAAAAAAAAACAGAGACAUAAAGAGAAAGAAAAACAAAACAUAAGAGAAAAACGGAGGAAGGAAAUGGAAGGGAAUAAAAGAAAAACAGAGAAGACGAGGGCAUAAAAACAUAGAAGGGAGGAAGAACAAAAAUAAAAACAAAAACAAAAAAGAAAGAAGAAGAAGAAACUUAUGCCUCUGCACAAAAAGAAAAAAAAUAGCAGCAACGAUUGUUUUUCUUCCCACCGCCGUCUGGAACCACCGUCAUUCAGCCGCCAACACCACCGCUAGGUUAACCUCCUCCUUUCUUCUUCUUCUUCUUCUUCUUCUCCUACAUCUUUUCCUUCUUCACUAUUCUACGUGAACCAUGGAGAGUGAAUUAAUUCAGUCUCCAUUGUUCACAUGAACAGUGAAGAGCUUCUUCACUAAUUACUAAGUCAGACCUGUGCCAACCUAGAUGAAUAUGGCCGGGCCAGGUCUGACACAGAUCCAUAAAAAAAGAGGAAGAUUUGUUGGGCCUACAUCGACCCAACACUCUUUUGGGCCUGCAUCGACCAAACCCUUGUCUUGGCCCGAUGUUGGCCUAACUAUUUUGGGUCGGUCUCGGCCCAACCAGGGUAGCUAAGCCCAUAUAAUUGGAAUGGACCGAACCAAAUAUUUUAUUAUAUAAUAUAAUAAUAAUAUAUAAUAUAAUAUUAUAUAUUAAAUGAAAACAAAAGCAAAAAAAAAAAUCCAAAAAUCCUUUCAAAAAAUUUGUGUUUUUCUCGUGUGUUUUUCUACCAAUUUUGAUUAAUAAUGGUUUGUAAUUUUAUACCAUAAAGAUAAAAAUCCAGUAUUAAAAUAACUUGUUUUCUCCGAAAUGUUGCAAAAAAAUUAUAUAGAGAAAAAACAAAAAAAAUGUAUUGUUUUCAUGGAUAUGGCCAAGUCUCUCAAAAAUAUAUUAAAAAAAUUCAUAUCGUAUUUUCAUAGAAAAAAAAAUUCAAAAACUAUGUAUUAGCAUGUAUUUUUUAGCUUUAAUAACUAGUUUAUUAAAGUCAUGAGAACUAGGCCCAUAUUUCAAAAAAUACCAAAGAAAUAUUUUGUUUUCUUUUAGUAUAUGAGAUUACGAACUUAUACGUAAGAUAUAUUUCUGAUAUUAAAAAUGUAGUUCUUUGUUUAUUGACAUUAGAACGGUUAAGUUUUUACCCGAUAAAAUAAGAAUCUCCUUACCGAAGAGGAUUUGUCUUCAACUUUAGACAACCAUCAAUUAAAUAACUAGUUUAACUAGAUAAUUACAUAAUGCAUCUUAUUUUAGGUAAGGUGUACAAGGGGUGCUUUGUUGUCAAUCUUAGAUAUGUUUCUAAUAUUAUAUCAUCUUAUCCUUGAGGUUUUCUUGCGUGUAUAAUCUUAAUUAUAAUAUUUCAGUGUUUAGUUGCAUCUAAUGUUCUUUUUGAUGCCUUGAUCUUUGUUUGUUGUGUAUUUGCCACCUUUAUUCCAAUUAUUUCUUUAUGAUCCUUUUGAGCUAGAAUUUUGCAUGUUUAACGUUGUCUUACAUUGUCCUUGCCAGAUUUAUUAUUUUAUGCAAGUCUUUGGUCUCCUUUGCAUUCAUGGAUCCAAACCAAUACACUUCGCAUUUUUUUUUACCUUUUUUCUUUUCUUUAGUCUCAAUAUUCAUCAUUGACUUUCGUGGAUAUUCGGCGAUUUUCAUUGAAUUGACGGGUGGGUUAGAGACAGAAACUCUUGAAUUUAACCCUUUUUUCGAUGAAAUCCUCUUGAUUGCUUGUUAUUUUGAUUCACAUAGUCAAUGGGAGGUUUCUAUUGUAUUGGUCAAGCAGGACAUUGAAGAAAACUAAUUUAGGCUUCACAAAUCAGUAGUGACAUGGAGAUAUUAAAAUUAGAACCCACUGCAUCGGUCCACUUUCUGAGAUACAACUUUUUUAUUUAUUUGAUUUUUUAUUCUUGGGUAUUUUUUUAUCAACGAAAAAAUCAUUGUUGCUCUUAAUUUUAUGAUUUUUUUUGCAGUUUUAAGUGCAUAAAAUUUCGUUUUCUGUUGCUGCUUCAAAGGGAUUAUCAAUAUCAAAAACAGAAUUAAGCUUCAAAAGUGUAGUGUCAUUUGCCUUGUAAAGCAACUGUAAUGGUAAUCUAUAACAACAAAACUUUCGUGCUGCCAUGACGGCAUAACCUUUGUUGCACUACACAUUCGAUCCAAUCUCUCAAGGUAUCUCAUGUAUUUAAUAUUAAUUAUUUUAUAAUUUUUGGCUAAUAAAAAUACUUAUUCCUCAUUAAAUAAUUACUAUUUUGCACCAUACCUAACUAGCAUUUCUCUAAAAACAAACUUAAUUCCUUUUAGAUUAUAAAUGGUUGAUGAAUUUCCCUCCUAUAUGAUAUAUCUCAAAAAAUAAAUUCGUUUGACAUCUCAAAUAAUAUACCAUAUAUGAUGAUCAAUAGGGAAGGCAAACCCCAUGUACAAAGUACAAUAUUUAGAUUUGUGAUAAAAAUCUAAAAAGAAAGAACAAAACUUGGUACACAAAAAAGAAAGCAAAAAUUGUAGCGACAAACAAGUAGUUUAGUUAUCUAAAUCACAUUGGAGUUUGCGGUCCUCUUUGUUUAGAGGGCUUAGGAGGUGGUGGUGGUGACGGCAACGUGGCUUUUAUUGACAAUCUCUUCAACUUGUGACUGGGAAAAUUACUUGAAGGAACAUCGUUUGAUGCCAGCCCCGGAACAUGCAUGCAGGAGAAAAUCAGGGCGCAAAUUAACAUGAACCUCAGGAAGCAUGAAAGAACUGGAGCCAUUGCUGCAACCACUUGAAGUAUGAAAGAACCUCAGGAAGUAUGACUUCAAUUCAUCGACAUAUCCAUCAUUUAUAUAGGCUUUCAUACUAAUUUUCAACCCUUUGAUUGUAUCUGCGUUAAUAAUUUAUAGUCAAUUUAUUCCCGUUCAUAAGCAUGAAUGCAUAAAAAAAUAUGUUGACAGAAAAUUGACAUAUUCAGCAUUUUACACGACAGAACAUUUUAUAAUGUCAAUAUUUCUAAUUAACAGCUUUGAAAUUGUCAGAGUUUUCCCGUCCAUACACGGAGACAUCAACCUCGAAGGGGAGGAUUUAAGCGCUUUUGCUAUGAGUAAGGAAGUUUUAUUUCUUGCGGUCAAAGCGAGGUUGUCUCGAUAAUUUUUUUGUUUAAUUUCUCUCCUCUCUUUUUUUUUUUAAUUUCUGUCUCCAAUUAUUCUUUUAUUAGUUCUUAAUUUCUUAAUUCUUUGUCAACAUUGACAUCUUCAUUUAUGUUUUUUUUUUCAUUUCAAAUUUAUUUUUGAAAAACAUUAUUUUGAUUAUCCUGAUAUUUUUACACAUUUAAAUUUUGCCUGUGUUUCAAAAAAACUACUUAAAUAUUUAAUUAUUUACAUAGUUGAUAAGUGCCAACUCAGUGAACAAAAAAUUUAAAAUUACGGUAAAGGUUCUUAUAAUAAUUUUAAUAUCUAAAAUGCUCUUAUAAGUAAACAUUAACUUCUAAAAAUUUGAACUUUCAAGUAAGAUUACAAAAUACUAUAUGACUCCACGGCAAAAACCUUCAUUUUCCCUUUCCUCUAGUUGGAAGAUACUUUCUCUCCAAAUAAUUGAACUUUUUCUUCUAUUGCAAUUCAUCCUUUCAUGGUCUACUAAACUUUGAUUUUCAGUUAUAUAUAUAUAUAUAUAUAUAUAUAUAUAAUUUGUCCUGAAUUUUUUGAAUUGUCAUGCAUGCCAAAAUUGACAUAUUUGUUUUUUAUUCAAUUUUUUAAUUUGGGAAAUUAAUUUGACUCUCUUGAUAUUAGUACCACCUUUUCACCAAGAUAGUGUUCUUUAGGCAAUUUCUCUCCAAAUUUUGGCUCCCCAUUAUUUUCAAAUCUGAAUCUCGACAAUCAGACUAUGUGGUUGCAUCUGAAAUUAUCAAUUAUCAAAUUAGCAAGGAACAAGUUUCAAAUUGUCCAAAUCAAAUUUCAGAUAGAAAACUUCAAUUUUAUCAUAUGUGCUCAGAAUCAACAACAAAUCUGAGUGCACAUAGCGUCAGCCACACAAAAACAUUUGUUGCGAUGUUUUCAUCAUUUUGUUUAUCUCAACCUCUUCGGUACAGUGGUGUGUUCAUAACACUGUUUUUAUUUAUUUAUUAUUACUUUCAUCUUGGAAAAAAAAAUCAAAACACCCUCACCAAAGUUCUGAUGCCAGUUCAUAGGAUCAUUGAUUGUUACCUAGAGAGAAACUUAGCAUUUCGUAUGUUAUUACCCAAUCCCCCCCCCCUCUCUCUCUCUCUCACACACACACACAAGAGAAAAUACAAAAAAUAUAUAUAUUCAAAAGAAAUCUAAAAAAAUAAUAACAGUGAGAAGAGGAUGCCAGAGCGUCCAGAAAAUAGUCAAAAAUUGAUUGAGGAGGUUCAAAAAUACAAAGAUGAAAAUUUAACAAUAUACUUUUGACUGAUGAGAGCCUUUGCUGACGAAUAAAAUUCAAUUUGAGGAAGAAAUAUCCAAAAUUAGAAGUCCAUGGACUCAAUUAAAUUUAUUGAAGGUUUAAUUGAAUUUAUGAAAGGUUUGACUGCACGAAAAAUUGAUUUUUAAGUUAAUUUGGGCUUUUAUUCGAAUAAAUUAAAGUUCUUGGGUCAAAUUAUAAUUUUUAAGAGUUGAUUUUGUCAAAUCAGGGACUUAAUUGCAUAAUUAUUAAAGUUUGAUGGCCAAUUAGGAAAUUGAUUGAAGAAAUCUGAAAUCAAGGGCCAAACUAGAAAAGACAUAUAAAUAGAGGGGUUGAAAUUAACUGAAUCAGGGACUAAAUUGAAGAAAUUGAACGUUUAUUAAUCAGUUGAGGGUCAAAAUACAUAAAUUCAAAUCCAAGGAUCAAAGUGAAAAAGACUGCACAUGUGGGUCAAGGGAAUUUGUGCAUUUUGACCUUCAAUUGACCAAUAAACUUUUAAUUUCUUCAAUUUAGCCCUUGAUUCAGUCAAUUAUAGACCCUCUAUUUACGCGUCUUUUUCAAUUUGAUCUUUGGUUUUAGGUUUCUUCAAUGAAGUCCCUAAUUAGCCAUCAAACUUCAAUAUUUAUGCAAUUAAGCUCCUGAUUUAGCCAACUCAACUUUUAAAAAUUAUAAUUUGACCCCUGAACUUUAAUUUCUUCCAAUUAAAGCUCAAAUUAACUUGAAAAUCAAUUUUCUUGCAAUUAAACCCUUUAUAAAUUCAAUUAAACCUUCAAUAAAUUUUAAUUGAGUCGAUAUAUAUCUAAUUUUGAUGGAGGAAAAAAUUUUAAUGGAGGAAAACAACAAUGUUGGAAUAUCUAUUAUUUUUACUCUAGAAGUUGAGUUUUAUUAUUCAUAGACCUUGAAUCAAAUCAUUUUACACAUUAAGCAACACUUUCAAUGUUCAGAAGAGAUGUAGAACGCUCUCAUGAGCAUUGUGCCAUUCGAGCAAGGUUCAAUGCAACGCCAAUGCCAAUAAAUCCUUGAGAGACAUGGGGAUUAGCAAAUUGAUAUUCAUUUAUUUUUUUCCAUGCAUUAAUAAUUAAAUUUCUUAUGUAUUCACGAUCAUCUUUUUCUGAAGAUUUGGUUUCAUACAUGCAAUACUGAAUUGAUUUGGGAACAACUCCUCUUUUUAAUUCAUCCUUAAAUACUUUAAAAAAAUAAUCACAAAUAGAUAUUUUUGCCAGAAUGAAAAUGAAAGAUGUAAAUAAUUACACACUGAAAUAAUUAAUUGACCUAGAGAUUUACUAAAAAAAUUAGCAGCCAUGGAUUUUUAAGAUGAAAGAGUAGGUGCUAAGGUGGAGAUCGAGCCUUAUACCAACAUUUCAAAAGUAAUUUCUUGGGCCAAAUGAAAACCUAAGAGACCCAUUUAUAGUUAAAGUAUGCAUAAUAUGCUUUAAAAUUCAUUCUACUACUUGGGCAAGUCAGAGGCCUAGGCCUCGAGACAGAGGAAAGCAAGGGGAAAGUUGCAAAACAAAUAUCUUCAAUAAUUUAAAACUCAAAUAGAUAAACUCUGAUCACUUAUUUAACAUGUUUGAUUUGACUGUUAGUUGAAAUAGAAUUUACAGAAUCUACUGCUGGAAACAGAGAGAUUAAUUCUUGCAUUAUCUAAUUACUGAAGAGAAUGUUCAAAAAUAAUUUAUUUCAUUUGACUCUCUCAGUCCCAAAGGGAUGCUCCAUUUAUUUUAAUUUUUUUUGGUCCUUGUCUAACAAAAAUAAAAAUUUAGUCUUUAUGAUACCUUUUGUAAUUAGAUCUUGCAUAAUUACUCUUAAUUAUGUAACGGUUUACUGCAUCGUUUUUUUAAUACAAUGCUGUUAAAUAUAUUGAGUUGUUAAAUUAUAAUCUUUUAUUAUGUUAUAAUUGUUGGAAAUGUGACACAAAUGACCCAAAGUCAGCCAUGCCAUUUAUGGUGGUGGAUGGCAGUUAGGGUUUACCAUAUUUUCAAAAAAUUUAAAGCUUGGAGAACAAUUUUGAAUUUUUUGUUUAGGCUUCCUUAAUUGCCUUGGCCUUCUUCUUUUUCUGUUUUUAGUUUUUUUCUGUCAAAUAAUCAUCUUUACCCUAAAACUUAAGUUAUUAUGUGAUGUUUCAAGAUAUGAUUUAUAUUAUUCUCUAACACAUCUCCUCAAGUGAAAGUCAUUUGGGUUUGAAAUUUGCACAGACUCAUACUAACUUGUAUUUAAUUUUUUUAUCAAAUAAGUGAGAAUAAUAAAAUUCAAACUCGUAACCGCUCGAUUAUCAAAACUUUGAUAUUAUGUUAAAGAACCAUCUCAAACCAAAAGUUUAAGUUGUUAGAUGAGGUUUUAAGAUAUGAUUUAUAUUAUUUUCUGACAUCUUCCACUAGCUUCUAAACGUGAGUAAUAAUCUGGCUAGAGCCAUAAAACAAAGAGCAAUUUCCAAAUUUUCCAAUUUAAAAAUUUCAAAUUUCUUAAAAGCUUUCAAAUAUGAUGUUUGAAAAUAUAAUUUAUAUUAUUCUCUGACACAUCUCCUCAAAUGAAAGCUAUUUGGGCUUGAAAUUUGCAUAGACUUAUAUUACCUUGUAUUUAAUUUUUUAUCAAAUAAAUAAGAAUAAUGAGAUUCGAACUCGUAACCGCUUGAUCAUCAAGGCUCUGAUAUCAUGUCAAAGAACCAUCUCAAACCAAAAGUUUAAGUUGUUAGAUGAUGUUUCAAGAUAUGAUUUAUAUUAUUCUCUGACAUCUUCCACUAGCUUCUAAACGUGAGUAAUAAUCUGGCUAGAGCCAUAAAACAAAGAGCAAUUUCCAAAUUUUCCAAUUUAAAAAUUUCAAAUUUCUUAAAAGCUUUCAAAAUUUCAAUGAUUGAACUUUUUUUAUGUUUUAAAUUAUUACUAAAUUUGAAAAUUUCUAAUGUACUGUAAGAAGGUGAGGAAAUUUCUUUCACAACGACCACACACAAGCAGACUAUCUAUAUGGAGUGGUUCAUAAAAAUCUUGACACAGGAAAUUUAGACGUAGGCGGCUUCCCUGUUUGAAAUGCAUCUAUAAGGUCAAAAAAGCAUGAAGUCACAAUCCAAAUGCAUGUAAAAUCUAUAAUUUUCGAAAACAAAGAAACUUCAACUACAUGACUGAAUCAUAGACUUAAUAAGAUCAAUUUUUGUUUUUUUCUUUGGGAUCGAUUGAUUUGAAUUAGAGGCUUCAUUGAAAUAGGCAAUUUGCAUUAAAUAGCAGAUAAGGCAGAAUUAUAUUUGAAAUGAUUCGACAGAUGAGAGCCUUCAUGAAAAAAUUUGAUCAGAUUUGACCAUUUAUUUGCAAAAAUAUCUCAUCUUGAACCAAUUAAACUAAGAUGUUUUAAAUUAAAAGUUGAAGAAAUAGAAAGCUUAAUUUUUAAAGAAACAUGGUGGACAUGCGAAGCAUUACACCUGGCAUAAGGUGGUAGACGUUGGUCCAUUUAGAUGUGAUGGACAUGCGAAGCAUUACACCUGGACUCGCUUAAUCCACAAAUUCAGCUUGUUGUAGGUAGGGCCUGUGUAGAGGUUCGAAAAGGCCCAGCCAUCCUCCUCCUCUUUAGAUCCGUUUGUUUCACCUAAAAUAUAUAUUUUAUCUAGAUUUUUAUGUAUUUAUUCUUUUUUAAAAAAACAAAUUAAUUAAUAUAAAAUAUUUUACAAAGGUAGUUCAUUUUCUAUAAAAUAUUUUUAGCUUAUAAAAAUUUAAAAUAUUUUAUAAAUAAUAAUUCACUUACAAUAUUAUCUAACUAUUUUAACUGUUAUUUUCAUCGUACCGCCAUCACUUUCUUCUUUAUUAUCAUAACAACUAUAACUUUUCUAUCAUCUUCUUUUCUAUCAUCCCAAUGUCACCACUCUCCUCCUCCACCACCAUCUCAUCAUCACAAUAAUUAUCUUCUACUCCUCAUUAACCAUCAUUAUCUUGUUUUCUUCUCCACCACCACCAUAACCACCAUCACCUAAUCAAAGCUGGCACCAUGUUUACUUACAAUUAAUAAUUAUCUUCUACUCCUCCUUAACUUGAUUGCUAAAAUAACAACAGCUAAGGAUUUUGUAUUUUUUAAAUUCUUUUUAACAGUAGAGAAAUUUCAAAAACAAAAUUCUAAUUUUUUUCUUAAAAAUGAAAAUUAAAAAUUAGUAAUUUUUUAAUAUUUCAUAUGUCUUGAAAAAAACAAUUAAUGCAUGGAGAGCCAUCAUUGCAAAAUUCUAUUUCUAAGCCAUAUUCAAGAACCCAAGGAGACUUUUGAAGAGGAGAAACUGUUAAACAAACCCUUCUAGCUCCAAGACUGCAAGCCUCUCAUGUUUUUCUCUCUUAGACUUCUCUGCCAUUGUUUCAGAACUAAUCCUUAUUGUCAAUCUAUUGAUUUAAUUAAUAUAAUUUUUCCCUCUUUUCAAGAACAAAAUCAUUUUCUCUGUUUUUCAUAUAUCUGCUGUCUAUAUAUAAUUUCAUCAAUGCUUUAACAAUUUAAUAUAAUUUAAUAUAAGUAUUCCCUAGAUUUCCGAAUAUAAAAAUAUAUAUUUCAAAUUGAAAAUCUUUUAUAUCCUUAAAUAGAAAAACAUAAUCGACUAAAAAUAAAAUCCUAAUGUACCAAAUAUCCUAAUAAAUCUCUUUUCAAUUUAAAUCAUAUUAAAGUUUUUUGAGAAAAUCUUAACAAUUAAAUAAAAAUAAUUUAGUCUACAAUUAUGAAAUUUCCAUCCCCACGAUCAUAUUUUCAAAAAAAAAAAUGAAGCUUGGAGAGAAAUUUUGAAUUUUUUGUUUAGGCUUCCUUAAUUCCCUUGGCUUCAGCCAUGAAACAAGGAGCAAUUUCGAAAUUUCCCAGUUUAAAUUUUUUUAAUUUCUUAUAAACUUUCAAAGUUUCAAUGAUUGGAUUUUUUUAAUGUUUUGAAUUAUUUCUAAAUUUUUAAUUUUUAAUUAAAAGUGAGCAAAUCUCUUUCACAAAUUCAAAGACAGUGAGCAUUAUUUGAGAGAGAGAGAGAGAGAGAGAGAGAGAAGCAGACUAUCGAUAUGGAGAUAGAUAGGCUUCCAUGUUUGAAAUGUAAUCUAUAAGGGCAAAAAUGUAGUCACGAUCCAAAUGCAUGAUCAAAACUUUUGAUUGAGUAGAAUUAUAAAUAAGAUUGAACCUUAUACAGUGUUUGGCAAUAAUCUUGAAUCUGAUUUUCGAAAAGAUAGAAUGUAAACCACAUGUUUAUAGGUGGGGGGAUAAGAAAAUGAGAUGAAAAAUCCAUCAAUUUUUUUUUUAUCAUCGACUUAGAAAUCAAUCAAUUUUUGAAAUCAAUCAAUUUUUAUUUUGAUUCAUAUAUUAAAUUAGGAUGAUUUUAGAAAUUAAUAAUCAAGUCCUUAAUUUUUAUUAGGAUUGAUUGAUUUGAAUCAGAGGCUCCACUGGAAAAUUAGAGGCUUCAUUAGUGUAAUGUAUACUUGUGUAUGUAUGUACAUAUAUGUUUUUUAAUGUACGUGAUUUGCAUGAAAUAGCAGAUAAGGCAUAAUUAUAUUUUAAUUAAACAAUGUCAAAACUUCAAGGAUCAAAUGGAAAAGAGCCGCCCUAGCCUAGAAACGGCUCCGUUUCAUUCCCAUUGUCUUCUUCCCCUAGAAACAGAGGAAGCUGCCUGUGAGAAAAAAAAUUCAAAAUGCCACCCAUGACGGGCAGCUCCAACGCCGUAAACGCGGACCGAUGUGGUCUCCCAAGGGUCCCAAGCCAAUCAUGCUGCCCGUCCCAAUACACAGCAAGAAUCCGGGUCAAAAUCCACCACCAACCGUCCAACUGUGGCGGGACUGUUGGUGUCCGAGCCCGACCAAAACACCAACACCCCAAGCCACACUUAUCCUCGUCCUGAAAGGGAAGAGACGGUGGCAGAUGAACCACCAGAAGUCUAGCCCUAUAAAAAGCAGGGGGCGAUGCCAGAACAAGGGAAAUGGGGAUCAAAAAAAAAAAACAGAAAGAAGCUCGAGAGGAGCAGGGGACUUCAACUUCUCCUCACCUAACCGUGUUUGGUAUUGCGGUAGCUGUUGUGGUUGUGGUUUGAAAAAAGUUAUUUUAUAAAAGGUACUUUUAGUUGAGGUUGGUUUGAAAAAAUAGGUGUUUGGUUAAAACUGUGGUUGAAAUUGAGGUUGAACAAAAAGUAGUUUAAUGUGUUUGAUUAAGAAUCCUUUUGAAAUUGAGGUUAUAAAAUAAUUUUAAAAAAUAUAUAUUAAUAUUGAUGGUUUUUAAUUUAAAUAUUGUAGAGUUAACUAUUGCUAUUAUAUCAUGAAAUAAAUAAUACUUUAUAUAAAAUAUUUUUUAUUUUUCCAUUAAACUAUCCACAAUUCUAUCACGUAUGAAAUAUAUCCGACAAGGACUACAGUUUUCACAAAUUUUUUAAGAGCGCAACAACAUCAGGUAAAAUAUAAUCAGGAAUAAAAUUGAGAUUGCGAUCAAAUUCUGUAAAUGCGGCGUCAUCAAGCGAUCUCCGUCUAAUUUAUGUAGUCAUUGAAUAAUGUUAAAUACUAGUUUUUUGAAUAAAACACAAUUAAAAAAAAAUAUUUUAUUUUAUUUUACUGGGUCGGAUAGGUUGGUAGUUAUGUUUUAAAAUAUAUUAAAAUAAUAUUUUUUUUAUUUUAUAAAAUUUAUUUUUGAUAUUAAUAUUUAAAAAUUUAAUUUAAUUUUUAUUUUUAAAAAUAGCAAAAUAAUUAAAAUUUAACCAUAAUCCAAACAUGGCCAUAAUCAUCAUUUAUAAGAAGAAAGCUAGUGAUGGCUUGGCAUUGGCAUAAAUUAUUUAUCCGGGUAUAAAUAUCUGGCACCCCAUGCAUUUUAAUUUCUUACCAUGUAGAGCUCGCAGAGAAUGAGAACUUAAUUAUUUACGGAAACAAGUGGGACGCAUGUGAAAGCAGCCUUUGGCUGCUUCUUCCAACCCUGCGUUGCAAACGUAGUAAAUAAUGGGGUCCAUGAACAGUAAUUAGUGGUUUUUUCUUUACCAAACGUUUGGCUCCUGCGUUUUGCUUUAAACGCAAUUUUUACCGCGUAAACAAACGGCCUCUAAUCCCAUCUGACGAUUCUGCGACCCAAAAACUUUCGAGCAUCAUUUCCAAGUCCGUGCAACUUUUUUUGGAUGAGUUCUGACCUUUAGGGGUCUAUUAUGUAAUUUUGACAUGCUGGAAUAUGUAUUUAAAUUACUGAAUUUAAAUUACUGUUUGUUUGUUUCUUUUUUUAAUUUUGUUAUGUUGUAAAUAUGUAAUUAUAGGUGUGUAUAAAACAUAGCAAAAUGAGAUGUGUGCGUGCUUCUUUUUUUUUUUUUUUUUUUUGCUUUCAUGUUUUUAUGUUAAAAAACCAAAAAACAAAAAAGACAAAAAGAAUUAAAUGUUUCAAUUUGCAUUUAGCCAGGUCUCUCAAAACUAAGAAAAAAUCAUAUCGUAUUUCACAUGAAAAUUUAAGAAUACUUUUUUACAUAUAUUUUAGGAUUUAAUAACCAAUUUAUUAAAAACCUAAGAAUUUGGUCUCUAUUUCAAAAAAAAUACCAAAAAUAUUUUGUUUUCUUUUAGUAUUCAGGAUUAUGAACUUAUACGUAAGAUGUAUUCCAGAUAUCAGAUGAAAAGGUAGUUUGUUUUGUUUUUUAUAUUGACAAGUAGAACAACUAGGUUUUCUUUACCUGAUAAGAUAAGAAUCUCUUUACUGAGAAGAACUUUUCUUCAACUUUAGAUAGAUUGUUGACAAGAUAACCGCCAAAACCUUUAAACCACAUCAAACCGCAAAGCAGCUUAUAUCAGCUAGGGUGCACUACAGGUGCUAAUACUUUUCAUCGCCAUAACUAGUCCCUCAUCCUCGAAUCUCUAACAAGACCAGUAAAUUCAAGUUUCCAAGUGACCCUGAACCAAAUACUAGGUGGCAACUCCCAAAAUCAACAAACAACAACGAAAUCGCUCCGACGCCGCGCGACCACGUGCGAUAAUAUCCAUAUAUUAAGUCAGGAUGCUUUUAGAAAUCAAUAAUCAAUUCCUUACUUGAUUUUUUCUAGGUCUAGAAAUAUAAUCCUCAUAUUAGUUAUAUAUAUUCUAGUCCUAAAUUUAUAAAAUAUAUUUUAAUCAAGUUAUAUUUAAUUAAAUCAUACCAGUUUAAUUUCUGACUAAUGAUUCUUAAUGUGUGUGACCCAUUAGGUUCCUAAUAUGUUGGCUUAAAUAUAAAUUCUAAUUCUAAUUAAAAAGAAAUAAAAAAUAAAAAAAUAACUUAUUAUCAAUUCAACAAUUGAUUAAUUUAUUUUUGAAGAUUACGUGCAUCGUCUAGCAUUAUUUCGUGAUCCCCAAAUAUUAGAAACGUCAUUAGUGGUUUGACUUAACCUUUCAGUAACUGGUUUCUUAAUAUAAUUAAUAUUUUUUCAUGAUAAUGUUUUGAUUUACUAUUAAAGCAUAAAAUAUGAAUUGAAGAAGUUAUUGAAAUUACUCUAUAACCGCCACAGUCUCGUGACACUGCUUCCUCUUAUCCAAGUAAUAGUAUUAUAUGAAUUAAACUCCAUAAUCCAAUCAAAUGCAUAGCAUGAAUAAGUACUCAAAAGAAGAGCUUAUGAAUUACUAAAACCUCAACUUCAUUGAAUUCUUUAAUACCUAUGUAAAAAGAUACAAAGAAAUCCUAUUAUCCAAGUAAUUGCAUUAUAUGAAUUGGACUAUGCAGUCCAGCUUCAUUGGAUUCCCUAAUACCCGUGUAAUAAGAAAAGACACAAAGAAAUCCUCUUAUCCAAGUAAUUGCAUUAUAUGAAUCGGACUUUAUAAUCCAAUCUUUAGAGGAUACAUAACAACAAAUACUCAACAGAAGAGCUUAGGAAUUGCCAAAACCUAAGCUUCAUUGGAUUUCUUAAUACCCGUGUAAUAUGAAAAGAUGCAAAUAAAUUCUCAUUCAUGGUCCCUUGAAACACUCACAAUUCUUAAGGGUCUAGGCUUGCUAUUUGUAGAUGGAUCUAUAAUAUUCCACUUAAGCAUACCUUGAGGAGGAGGAAUCCAUGAUGAUUCACCAUGCACCUUUGUCCUUUUUGUUCACAUAAGAGAACUAUUUGAUAAUCUUACUAAGUCUAUCCCAAUAUAAUAAAAACUCACAUCACAACAUUUUAGGAAGAUUAGAAGCAUCAAUACUCAUCCAAUAUUUUUUUAAAAAAAAUUAUUUAUCAAAUGUGUUUAUCUUGUAGACUAAUUUUUUUAGCUAUCUGUGUCAUCGUAAAUUCUAAGUGAAUAUAAUUAUUUUAAAGAUUAUGCUUACUACCUUUCGUGCUAAUCUCCUAGAAUAUUCACUUGAAAAUUGUGUUCAUCAAUUAUUAUUGUUACACCUGGACAUCGCGGCGAUUCAUUAAAAAUUUUCUAUGAAAAAAAAAACAGAUAUCUGACAUCUUGUUAUUUGGGAGAAAAUGUCUAGUUCAAAGAGUCGUCACCUAGUAUUAUGACAACUAUGAACCCUAAGUGGUCAACAGAGAUUCUAUGGUACGGGAUUGGUUACGCGAAAGAGAAGAUGCUAUCACCUCUUAAAUGUCCUUCCUAAGGUAAGCUGCAUUUUUUGAUUUUGUCUAAAAUUGUUAAGAGUUUGUUCUCCCUUUUUCUUCCUAUCAUGUUCAUGACUCUAGCGUCAGUGAACGGUUCCUAUGAAUAUUUUCUACUUUAGUGUUGGUAAAUAUUGUGCAUAACCAAAACAAAUGUGAUAUUCUUGACUCUGGCGUCAGUGAAUAAUUUCGCAAGAAAUUUAAUUUGAAGAAGAAUUUUUCUAAUGCCAUUUUUUUAACCUUUUAUUAUUAUUUGCCCCAUUUUUAGACAGAAAUAAAAGAAACAUAGGACAACAAAUUUUGCAUUUAAUAGCAUGGUCGAUAGAUUGAGUUUAUAGCAAAAACAAAUACAAAACACAAAGAAAAAAUAAACAAAACGCAAGGAGCCACAAAUAAAUCAACAAAAAUUCUCAAAUAUUUUUGGAAUUUUAUGAUAUUGAAAAGAGGCUUGUUUGGUUGGAUAUCAAAAUAGAAGGGAGGUAAAAUACAUGGAAAAGAGAGGGUGUUUUACCCACCCUUAACAAGCAUGUUUUAAGACGACCAGGGAGUUUCAAGUUUUUUUACCAUCAUUGCAAAAUUCUAUUUCUAAGCCAUAUUCAAGAACCCAAGAAGACUUUGAAGAGCAGACACUGCUCCGAGACUGGAAGCCUCUCAUGUUUUCUCUCUUAGACUUCUCUGCCAUUGUUUCAGAACUAAUCCUUAUUGUCAAACUAUUGGAGGCAAGAUUAUCAAAGUAUUGAUAAUUUAAUGUAAUUUUUCCCUCUUUUCAAGAACAAAAUCAUUUUCUCUAUUUUUCAUAUAUCUGCUGUCUAUAUAAUUUCAUCAAUGCUUUAACAAUUUAAUAUAAUUUAAUAUAAUUAGUAUUCCCUAGAUUUCCGAACAUAGAAGUAUAUAUUUCAAAUUGAAAAUCUUUUAUAUCCUUAAAUAGAAAAACAUAAUCGACUAAAAAUAAAAUCCUAAUGUACCAAAUAUCCUAAUAAAUCUCUUUUCUAUUUAAAUAAAAUUAAUUUUUUUUGAAAAAAUCUUAACAAUUAAAUAAAAAUAAUUUAGUCUACAAUUAUGAAAUUUCCAUCCCCACGAUCAUAUUUUCAAAAAAAAAUAAAAAUGAAGCUUGGAGAGAAAUUUUGAAUUUUUUGUUUAGGCUUCCUUAAUUUCCUUGGCUUCAGCCAUAAAACAAGGAGCAAUUUCGAAAUUUCCCAGUUUAAAUUUUUUUAAUUUCUUAAUUUCUUAUAAACUUUCAAAAUUUCAAUGAUUGGAUUUGUUUUAUGUUUUGAAUAAUUUCUAAAUUUUUAAUUUUUAAUUAAAAGUGAGCAAAUCUCUUUUAUAUCGACCACAUGUAGAAUUGAUUCAAAGACAAGUGGUUCAUGAAAAUUUAAACGUAGGCGGCUUCCCUGUUUGGAAUGUCAUCUAUAAGGGCAAGAGAAAGUCACAAUCCAAAAGCAUGUAAGAUGUUUGAAAAGUUAGCUUAUAGAUGGCCAUGAUCAAAACUUUUGAUUGAGUAGAAUUAUAAAUCAGAUUGAACCUUAUACAGUGUUUGGCAAUAAUCUUGAAUCUGAUUUUCGAAAAGAUAGAAUGUAAACCACAUGUUUAUAGAAGAUAAGAAAAUGAGAUGAAAAAUUAAUCAAUUUUUGUUUUUAUCAUCGACUUAGAAAUUGAUCGGCAUAGAAAUCGAUCGAUUUUUGUUUUUAUCAUUGGGAUUAAUUGAUUUGAAUUAGAGGCUUCAAUGGGAAAUUAGAGGCUUCAUUAGUGUAAUGUGUAUACUUGUGUAUGUAUAUAUAUGUUUUUAAAGGUAAGUGAUUUGCAUUAAAUAGCACAUAAGGUACUGUUAUAUCCCUGCAAGGAUGGGAAUAUAAGUUUCAUUUCUAGAAAGCGCACUUGUUGGGAGGAGCAUGCACAAACCCCGAACGGGACUAGUCUCACUCUUUAAACGAAUGUGAGGAUACUCAAAAAAAAAAAAAAGGCUUUAUUAGUGUAAUGUAUACUUGUGUAUGCAUAUAUAUGUUUUUGAAUGUAAGUGAUUUGCAUGAAAUAGCAGAUAAGGCAUAAUUUAAGUUAAAAGUUGUCCACAAAUUAUCCAAGCAGUUGAAGAAAUAAAAAGGUUAACUUUUUAAGAAACCAUAGCUUGUGAGUGCUUAAGACUAAAAUAACAAUAACUAUGGAUUUCGUGAUUUUCUUAAUAACAAUAAAUAUUAACAUUUUCCUAUGAGAACAUUUGGCAUGUUUAAAUAUCUGCCAAUUUUUAUGAAUAUAAUUGGCCGAUAUUUAAUAAACCAAUAAAUAUUAACUAUGGAUCUCAAUUUUUUUAUUGUUAAAUGUUUUGAUUAGAUUACCUUGCAAAGUGAUAUUUAUGAAUAUAAUUGUCAUAACCUAAAUUUUCUUUUUUUUUUUUGCUUUUUUUUAUUUCUAUUUUUAUUUUUAUAAAUAAAAAUAAAAUGAGAUGAAAAAAUAUUAAAUUAAAGAAAAAUUUGAAAUUCAGGUAAGACAACCCGAUUUGGAAGUUUUGAGGGUUUAAUCAUGGUGCAUUUAUGGCUUUGAAAGUUAAUUUUGGUAGAAAAUUAAAGAAUUGAUAAGUUUGAGGUCUUAAUUAAACUUCGAUUUAGUUAAUUAAUGCAAUCAGGGGUUUAAUUGAAGAAAUAUCAAAGUUCAGGGACAAUUCGAGUCACAAUUGCAUGAAAUUAAAUUCCAGGGAUCAACGUGAAUAGGCGCCUAAAUCCAGGGGUCAAAUUAAAAUAUGAACCAGAGACCUAAUUAAACAAUGUCAAAACUUUAAGAACCAAAUGGAAACGAGCCGCCCUAGACUAGAAACGGCGCCGUUUCAUUCCCAUUCAUCGUCCUCGUCCUCUAGAAACAGAGGAAGCUGCCUGUGAGAAAAAAAAAUUCAAAAUGCCACCUAUGACGGGCAGCUCAAACGCCGUAAACGCGGACCGAUGUGGUCUACCAAGGGUCCCAAGCCAAUCAUGCUGCCCCUCCCAAUACACAGCCAGAAUCCGGGUCAAAAUCCACCACCAACAGUCCAGCUGUGGCGGGACUGUUGGUGUCCGAGCCGGAGCAAAACACCAACACCCGAAGCCACACUUAUCCUCAUCCUGAAAGGGAAGAGACGGUGGCAGAUGAACCACCAGAAGUCUAGCCCGAGCAAAACACCAACACCCCAAGCCACACUUUAAGAUGCCCUUGAUUUAUUGUACCACUCUGAAUUUUGAGUAAAAAAAGAAAAUUCCACGACUAGCCUAAUCAGUUCAAGUUCCAAUAAUCUAAAUAUUAUUUUUCAAGUUCCAAAAAAUUUUAAUUCAAGAAGGAACGAUAGCACAUGCAAUAACGUCGUUUCUUUACACAAGUACUCUCUCAAUAUUUGUCACGAAAAAAACUCAUAUCCUCCUAAAUUGUUGUACCGACAUUAAGUGAAAGCAUGGCUAAAUAUUUUCAUACGUGUUCAUAGGAAAUUAAGUGACUGUAAUUCUACUCUCUUUUCAUACGUGUUCUCUUUUCUCUCUCCCUCUCUUUUUUGUUUUUUAUUAUUAAUAUUUUCAUACAUAUAAUGAUUUAUUAUUCUUUUAAUCACACUUAAAAAAUAUUUAUAAUAUAUUGUUACGGUGCUGAAAUGGGAAAGUGAUUUUACUUGCAUAUUUUUGUUUCCAUACAUAUAUUCCCUCUUGUCUUUCCCCCUCUCUUUUGCACUUUUUUUUUUUAAUAUUUACAUCUAAUGAUUUAUUAUUUUUCUUUUAGAACACACUUAAAAAGUAAGUCCUAACACAAAUGUUUUAGUUGUGAUACUAUUUAGGUUGAUUUUUGUUUUUGUUAAAAUUUAAUUUUUUUGUUUUAAAUUAAUUUUUUUAGUGCUUUUAAAUAUUUUUAAUAUAUAAAUAUAAAAAAUAAAUUUUAAAAAUAAAAAAUAUCAUUUUAAUAUAUUUACAAAUAAAAAAUAAUAUAUUUUUAAACACUCAUUAAUUCAGCAUCAAAAUUACAUCAUCUUUUGAUAGCAGUACACAACGUCAUGCCAUUUCCCUAUAAAUAGCCUUCCUUUGAUGAUGAUUUAGGUACUCGAGCAUCAAAGUACUCAAAGUAGUAGUCUCUAUUUCAUUCAAGAAAAUGGAAAACACCAAUCAACAAAACAAUUCUCGUGGAAAGGCAGAUUUCCCACCAAGCUUGUGGGGUUGUAGCUUCGCUUCAUUUUCCUUCCCACAAACGGUAUACUACUUCUCUUCUGUGUGUAUAGCAGUGUAGCUUUUCUUUUAAUGAUUUUAAGUAUCAAGACAAAAAAAAAAAAAUUCCAAAAACUGUAUAUAAGCUUUUAUGUUAGUGGGAUCUAUCAUCCAAUUCUGCACUAAGAUUAUAAUCUGAUGUUUCACAAUUGUUUUUUUAUUUUUUUUGAAUUAUAUAUCAGUACUUCUCUCUCUCUUUUUAAUGAUAAAAUCAUAUGUAUAUUUUGUUGCCACUCCUCUCAUAUGCUAUACAUUUGUCUAGCUGUUGAUUACUUUUACUUUAAACAGAAAAAACAUUAUCAAUAGAGUAGAAAAAAACACGUCAAGGAUUACCCAAUGCUAUCAAUUUAUAUUAACUGAAUAUUUCACUGCAGGAAUUCGAGUCAUACAGCCGACAAGUAGAAGAGUUGAAGGAAAAUGUGAAGGACAUGCUGAUGGCUUCCAAAAGGGAUCCAGUGGAACAUAUUGAAUUCAUUAAUCUGUUAUGUCGGCUUGGUGUGUCGUAUCAUUUUGACAAAGAGAUUGAAAACAACCUCAAAGAAAUUUUUGAUGACCUUCCUAAUCUUCUUGAGAAGCAUGACUUUGAUCUCCAC